CACUCUGCACUCAAUCCUAGGGUGACCAAACGUCCGUAUUUCCCGGGACAUGUCCGUAUUUCACGUCCUGUCCCGGGCGUCCCGGGUUUUUUUUAAAAAGUGAGGAAAUGUCCUGGUUUUUAAAUUACCUUCAUUGGACCAUUAAAUUUACAGGCACUAGGGCACUGCGCACGGCGCUGCGUGUGACGUAAUCCCUGAGCCGCGUCAGUGAGGGCAGCCCUGUUCUUAAUCAGAAUGUAGACAGCGUGACUGUCAGUACGCAAGCAACAUGCCGAAGCGCAAGUGUAUGUUUACCGAUGAUUUACAAAAGAGUUUCCCCGCUUUCAGACCGGGUUGAGACAAAUGGGAAGCCUUGUGCACAGUGUGCAAAGCAGGCACAUAUGUCUCGGUAUCCAAUGGAGGUGCAAGGGAUCUGAAAAGCCACCUGGACACCGAGAAGCAUAAAACAGCUGUCCGA